UCUCAUUGAACAUGGAAGUAAAGAUGUAUAAAGAGAGACUGUUUGAACUGCUCAGUACGGCAGUUGGCGGAGCGCAGACUCCCCUGCCGUCCAGCGCUGUAUUUGCUCAUAUUCUACUUGCUACAAUUAAUAAAAUUCUAAUUGGAUUAUGAUCCAUUGUGGUCUCUAUUUAUGACAAUUUGGUGCCGUGACUCGGAUAAGGAACGGUGAGCUUCUGUCCUCCGGGGAGGCGCCCCGCGGCAAUCCGCGGCCCCGCGACCGACAGCUUACCUCAACCUUACCGACGAACCUAAAUUCUAGAAUGAUGAGCAAAGGAGAAACCGGUAAAAUCCCAUAAAAAUUCUGUGCACGGGAGUCCGGAUGAAGACGCAGGGCGCAAACAGCUGUCCGGACUGCUGAGCGUGGAUGGACUCAUGCCAGUCGCAUUAAAGGCCCAGUGACGAGACCCCACUGGAAAGUAAUCAGUACUCCAGGUGACACCAAGAUAACUCUGAAAAGAUAACGUAAUGAUAAGAACUUUAGUUGAUUAUUUUGCCGCAUUACCUUUUGGUAUAAAGUGUAUAUUGCUGUUUAUAUUUGCUAUAAUUAUCUUUUUUUAAUCUAUUAUAUAUGGAAGCGUACAAAGUGUGUUGAAGGAAAUUGCUAAACUUAUGUAGUAACACAAUAUUGAAUAUAGAGGAAAAGCUAAUAAGCACUUUAGAUAUACAAAUUAGAUGCAAUCAUUUGAACUGCGAUUGUUAUCCAUUUGCUCGUUGCAAGUGUAAGGUAUGCCAGGAUAAAUGGUGGACACACUGUGAAUAUGGAUACCCUCCGAUAGGAGUUUGCACACAGUGUUGGAAAACCCAAAGAACUCUCACUGAGUGGAAAUUAAAAACAA